CUCCCUGGCAGCAUAUGGAGGUUCUCAGGCUAGGGGUCGAAUCAGAGCUACAGCUGCCAGCCCAUAUCACAGCCACAGCAAUGCCAGAUCCAAGCCACGUCUGCGACCUACACCACAGCUUACGGCAAUGCCAGAUCGCCAACCCAAUGAGCGAGGCCAUGGAUCGAACCCGCAACCUCACAGUUCCUAGUCAGAUUCGUUUCAGCUGCGCCAAGACGGGAACUCCACAGUGCUGUAUCCUUAACCCACUGCACCACCAGUUUCUGACGUCCAACCAAGUGGUUCAGUUACUAUUUUUUUUUUCUUUUUACAGUUGCAGCUGUGGCACAUGGACGUUCCUGGGCUAGGGGUCAAAUUGGAACUACAGCUGCCAGCCUACACACAGCCACAGCACCACUGGAUCCAAGCCACAUCUGUGACCUACACUGCAGCUGGCAGCAAUGCCUGAUCCUUAACCGACUGAGUGAGGCCAGGGAUCAAACCCACACCCUGCGGACACUGUUGGGUUCUCAACCCACCGAGCCACAGCAGGAACUCCAAAGUGGUUCAGCCAUACAGAUUCUUUUCCAUUAUGGUCUAUUACAGGAUAUUGAGUAUAGUUCCCUGUACUACACAGGAGGACUUUGUUGUUUACCUAUUUUAUACAUAGUAGGUUGUUUCUGCUAAAUGUAUUCUAAUUUAUCCUUCCCCCUUUGGUAAUUACAAGUUUGUUUUCUAUGUCUGUGAGUCUGCUUCUGUUUUGUAAAUAAGUUCAUUUGAAUCACUUUUUAGGAUUCCACAUAUAGUGAUAGCAUAUGGUAUUUGUCUUUCUCUGUCUAGCUUACCUCACUCCGUAUGAUCUUCUCUAGGUCCAUCCAUGUUGCUGCAAACGGCACUAUUUCAUCCUUUUUUAAGGCUGAGUCAUUAAACUUCCAUUUCAGGGUCGGUUUCCCAGGACCACUUCCAGUACCAAAUGCUUUGGACUGAGAUCGCUGUGAACAGGCGCUGAGGCAGAGGGUUGUGUGUUGAAAGUUUGUCAGGGAGUGUUUCCAGGGGACACACCUGUCUAGAAGCAAGGAUGGCAGGAAUGGCGGAGGGAGAAUCUGGGAAAACUGUCACUGUGGUGAGCUGGGGUGGGUGGGAACCAGCGACAGGGGACAUGCUCCGGGAGAUGUAUUUCUGGCACUAGGGAGGUGAGAGGGCUAACAGCAACAAGAAGACAAUGGCACUGAUGCUGCAGAACACCGGUGAUGUGGUGGAAAGAGCAAACAGGCCCCGGAUGAGAUAAGGAGUCGGGCUCCCAUUCUGUGGCGUGGAUUGGGGCAGACACGUUGACAGGCUGGAGCGGCAGUGGCUGCUUCCCGAUUAUGCUGGCUGCCCCCUAGACCAGGACAGUGGCACUGAGCUGCAGCCAGCAGCUCUCCUGGCAGUUCGGGUCAGCAGUGUGGCUUUGGUACUGGUUCUGGAAGCUCAGGCCAGCUUCAUUUUCUCAACCCUCGCAAGGAUUCUGCAGUUGAACACUGGGCAAUUCCAACCACGUCUGUCUGAUUUCAAAAGCCAAGUUCUGUCCUCAACACCAUGUGGUGACUGGGAGAACUGAGCUUUCCUACCCAGAAUGAACUAAAUAAAAGGGAGCACACAUGGCUGGAGAAGAGGGCCGUGGGUAAGGAAAGGAGGCAGUGCAAAAAAUAAAAGCAGCUAUUUGGAGGUAAAAUACCAGGGCUCAAGUCCCUAACUCUACACCAUAUGAGCUGUGUGAUGUCUGGCAAGCUACUCAACCUCUCUGUGCUCGGUUUAGGAGUGAGCUCUCAGAAUCUCCCGCUCCUGACUCCAAUCUUUGGUUCUGUUUGAUGGAGAGUGAAGUUGCUUCUUGCCUCAUGUUUGCAAAACGGCUUUUCACAGCUCUGGCCACGGUGUCCUCCCCUAACUGUGUCAAGACAGGAAGAAAAGACAGACAGUGGGUGGGAAAGAGGGCUCUUUAAUUCACAGGCAGCUGUCUCCAGAUACGCUUCAGCAAAUGUGUCCUCAAGUCUCCUUGGUCAGGACCAGGGACAUGGUCACUGGCAGUUUUGUUGGAGUCGGAACAGACCACGCUUACCACUAUCUUGGAGCUUUUUUUGGGCAGUCUCUCUCCUUAGAAUGUUCUUCCUCCAGAGGUGUUUUUUGUUUUUUUUUUUUUUUUUUUUCUUUUUUUUUUGUCGUUUUAGGGCUGCACCUGCAGCAUAUGAAAGUUCCCAGGCUAGGGGUCCAAUCAGAGCUGCAGCUGCUGGCCUACACCACAGCCACAGCAAUGCCAGAUC
rnacentral:lncRNA from 1 species